AACGCUGGCGGCGUGCUUAACACAUGCAAGUCGAACGGAAAGGCCCUGCUUUUGUGGGGUGCUCGAGUGGCGAACGGGUGAGUAACACGUGAGUAACCUGCCCUUGACUUUGGGAUAACUUCAGGAAACUGGGGCUAAUACCGGAUAGGAGCUCCUGCUGCAUGGUGGGGGUUGGAAAGUUUCGGCGGUUGGGGAUGGACUCGCGGCUUAUCAGCUUGUUGGUGGGGUAGUGGCUUACCAAGGCUUUGACGGGUAGCCGGCCUGAGAGGGUGACCGGCCACAUUGGGACUGAGAUACGGCCCAGUCUCCUACGGGAGGCAGCAGUGGGGAAUAUUGCUCAAUGGGCGGAAGCCUGAUGCAGCAACGCCGCGUGCGGGAUGACGGCCUUCGGGUUGUAAACCGCUUUCGCCUGUGACGAAGCGUGAGUGACGGUAAUGGGUAAAGAAGCACCGGCUAACUACGUG
rnacentral:rRNA from 1 species